UACGUAGGGGGCAAGCGUUGUCCGGAUUUAUUGGGCGUAAAGGGCUCGUAGGCGGUCUGUUGCGUCGGGAGUGAAAACUCAGGGCUUAACCCUGAGCCUGCUUCCGAUACGGGCAGACUAGAGGUAUGCAGGGGAGAACGGAAUUCCUGGUGUAGCGGUGAAAUGCGCAGAUAUCAGGAGGAACACCGGUGGCGAAGGCGGUUCUCUGGGCAUUACCUGACGCUGAGGAGCGAAAGCGUGGGGAGCGAACAGG
rnacentral:rRNA from 1 species